rnacentral:rRNA from 1 species
CAGUCGCCGCGGUAAUACGGAGGGGACUAGCGUUGUUCGGAAUUACUGGGCGUAAAGCGCACGUAGGCGGCUUUGUAAGUUAGAGGUGAAAGCCCGGAGCUCAACUCCGGAAUUGCCUUUAAGACUGCAGAGCUAGCAGGUGAGAGAGGUGAGUGGAAUUCCGAGUGUAGAGGUGAAAUUCGUAGAUAUUCGGAAGAACACCAGUGGCGAAGGCGGCUCACUGGCUCAUACUGGACGCUGAGGUGCGAAAGCGUGGGGAGCAAACAGGAUUAGAUACCCCCGUAGUCCCUGUCUCUUAUAA